GACGAACGCUGGCGGCGUGCUUAACACAUGCAAGUCGAACGGAAAGGCCCUGCUUUUGUGGGGUGCUCGAGUGGCGAACGGGUGAGUAACACGUGAGUAACCUGCCCUUGACUUUGGGAUAACUUCAGGAAACUGGGGCUAUUACCGGAUAGGAGCUCCUGCUGCAUGGUGGGGGUUGGAAAGUUUCGGCGGUUGGGGAUGGACUCGCGGCUUAUCCGCUUGUUGGUGGGGUAGUGGCUUACCAAGGCUUUGACGGGUAGCCGGCCUGAGAGGGUGACCGGCCACAUUGGGACUGAGAGACGGCCCAGACUGCUACGGGAGGCAGCAGUGGGGAAUAUUGCACAAUGGGCGGAAGCCUGAUGCAGCAACGCCGCGUGCGGGAUGACGGCCUUCGGGGUAUAAACCGCUUUCGCCGGUGACGAAGCGUGAGUGACGGUAAUGGGUAAAGAAGCACCGGCUAACUACGUG
rnacentral:rRNA from 1 species